rnacentral:rRNA from 1 species
UUCCUACGGGACGCAGCAGUGAGGAAUAUUGGUCAAUGGGCGGAAGCCUGAACCAGCCAAGUCGCGUGAGGGAAUAAGGCCCUACGGGUCGUAAACCUCUUUUGCCGGGGAGCAAGGGCGGGGACGUGUCCCGGCCCGGAGAGUACCCGGAGAAAAAGCAUCGGCUAACUCCGUGCCAGCAGCCGCGGUAAUACGGAGGAUGCGAGCGUUAUCCGGAUUUAUUGGGUUUAAAGGGUGCGUAGGCGGGCGUUUAAGUCAGCGGGAAAAGUUCGGGGCCCAACCCCGCCCGGACGGUGAAACUGGGG